rnacentral:rRNA from 1 species
AUUGAACGCUGGCGGCAGGCCUAACACAUGCAAGUCGAACGAGUGGCGGACGGGUGAGUAAUGUCUGGGAAACUGCCUGAUGGCGGGGGAUAACUACUGGAAACGGUAGCUAAUACCGCAUACCAUCAGAUCAGCCUAUGUCGGAUUAGCUAGUUGGUGGGGUAAAGGCUUACCAAGGCGACGAUCCGUAACUGGUCUGAGAGGAUGAUCAGUCACACUGGAACUGAGACACGGUCCAGACUCCUACGGGAGGCAGCAGUGGGGAAUAUUGGACAAUGGGCGAAAGCCUGAUCCAGCCAUGCCGCGUGUGUGAAGAAGGUCUUCGGGUUGUAAAGCACUUUAAGUUGGGAGGCGUUACCUGCAGAAUAAGCACCGGCUAACUACGUGCCAGCAGCCGCGGUAAUAC